GGUUGGGGGGUUGUGAUUGGCUGAUUGUCCCAAGAUAGGCGGGCAGGGGAGCUCCCAGCUUGGCCCAGGGGUCUGGGAGCCCAGGUCCUGCGGGAUCCGGAGGCCUCGAGCACAUCUCUGCCUGCUCCUGUUUGCCCGAAGCCAGCUGUGAGUUGGGUACCGUGCAGGGGGUCCCAUGGUCGCGUGUGGCCUGAGCCGGGCCUGGAGGGUGCUGAUGGGAGCUGCGGCCCUGCUCCCCUUGGUGGGGUCCACGCCGGGGAUCAGCUCUAAGGCAGGAAGCGGCUGGGCUGACUGCUGUGUCCGGGACCCGCGGGCUGCGGCGCAGGCCAGGGGCAUCUCCGGGAACCAGGAACGAGCCCCCCAUGUGACAUCUGUUACGAUCGUGACCGUCGGGACCAGUGGGGGCCCCUGCUCCUGUCGCUGGCAGCAGUGCGCGGCUGGAAAAGCAGACAGCGCGUUCUCAGGGACAUGCGAGGAGGCCAUCUCUGCAGCAGCCCCCUGCACCUGGUGGACAGAGGCUUCCUGCUGUGACGCGAGAGAACUGUGCUCUGCGGAGGACACAGCCAAGGCCCCGCUUCCUGGGACUGCCACCGCAGGGGCCCCCAGCAGCGUGGCCGGAUCCCCACGGGCCAGCACCCAGCCAGCUCUGCCUGGGGGGCCGUCUUCCCGUCUCCCCGCUGUUCCCAGGAGGUAGGGGAGGGGUGUGGAGCUGCACGCCUCCUCACCCCAGCUCUGCCCCGUCCGCUGGGACUUCGUGUGUUCCUUGCUCGCCGUCAUUAGAGCUGUCGUGCAGGCCAGUGCUUUCUGAGUGACCGCCACCCGGGCGGUGCCAUCAGCAUCCCCAGUCGCGUGGGUCCCUCUGUUUUCAGACUGGCCAGCACCAGGAAGCCCUGUCUGACUGUGUCUCCACAGGGACGGGCACCACGUAUGCACAGGAGGGCCAGGGAGAUGAGGCUGGGCCACGAGGGUACUCAGGCUUAGCUGGGCGUGGUGGUGCACACCUGUGAUUGCCACCCUUAGGAGGCUCAAGUAAGAGGGUCGCAAGUUCAAGCCCAGCCCAGGCAACUUCAUGACUUAGUGAGCACCUGUCUCCAAAUAAGAAAUAAAGUAGGGCUGGAAGUGUAGCUAAGUGUGAAGGCCCUGGGUUCAACCCCUGGUACUGCAGAAAAGACAAAGCACACAGUGACUUCCUGUGCUUCCCUGAAAGUAUUUGCUGUCUGGCCUGCGGGGCCUCACUCGUGCCAGUGUCUUGUGGCUUUCCUCAUUGCUGAGACAGAGAACCUGCUGCCCACAGCUUAAAGGAGAGGUUUAUUCUGGCUCGCGGUUUCAGCCCAUGGUCCACUAGCACCAAAGCAGAAAUGGCCUGGCGUAAGGAAGCCGCUCACACCAUGGAGGUUGGGAAGCAGAGUGGCAGGAGCUGGGAGGGGGAGGACCCAUCCAGGCCCCGCCUCCCCUGCCUAGGCCCCGCCCGGUCCCCGCCUCCUCUGCCUAGGCCCCGCCCAGGCCCCGCCUCCCCUGCCUAGGCCCCGCCCGGUCCCCGCCUCCUCCGCCCAGGCCCCGCCUCCCCUGCCUAGGCCCCGCCCGGUCCCCGCCUCCUCUGCCUAGGCCCCGCCCAGGCCCCGCCUCCCCGCCCAGGCCCCGCCUCCUACCCGCCCCGGCUCCCAGCCGCACGCAGUCUUCUCCCCGAGCCUCUCUGAGCGCAGGCGGCCGUGAGCGCUGCGGGUCAAACCCGGACGGCGGUGCUGCCGCUGCGGACUGGCCGGAAGCCGUGCUUCCCGGCAGCAGCUCUGGACGAGCAGGGCCGAGCGGGAGGCGCAGGCUCCGCGCUGGCCCCGCCGCC
ensembl:lincRNA polycystic kidney disease protein 1-like 1